GUGCCAGCAGCCGCGGUAAUACGUAGGUGGCAAGCGUUAUCCGGAAUUAUUGGGCGUAAAGGGUGCGCAGGCGGCUGUUUAAGUCCGUGGUAAAAGACUGAAGCUCAACUUCAGGAGGCCGCGGAAACUGGACGGCUAGAGUGCAGGAGAGGGUAGUGGAAUUCCAUGUGUAGCGGUAAAAUGCGUAGAUAUAUGGAGGAACACCAGUGGCGAAAGCGGCUACCUGGCCUGUAACUGACGCUCAUGCACGAAAGCGUGGGGAGCAAAUAGGAUUAGAUACCCUGGUAGUCCAUGCCGUAAACGAUGAGUGCUAAGUGUUAGGGGGUUUCCGCCCCUUAGUGCUGCAGCUAACGCAUUAAGCACUCCGCCUGGGGAGUACGACCGCAAGGUUGAAACUCAAAUGAAUUGACGG
rnacentral:rRNA from 1 species